AUGGGCACACGGCCGGGGAGCAGGCAAGUCUCGUUUCCUUCCCAAUCCUUGUCUCCAUCACUCUCCCCCGAUUCGGCCGCCGACCUCGCCGCUCCUCUAUCCCACCGCCGCCCGCCGCCUUCUCCUCCCUCCCAUCACCUUCUCUACGCCGGCAGGGGCUUCCACCUGUGGAUUGGGGAUCUGCACCGGCGAUGGGCUCCUCCUUCGCCCACGGCAGCGGCUCCGCCUUGCAGGGCCGGGGCGGGAGCGGGAGCGGGCCGUGCUUUGACCUGGCUCGUCAGCUCUGGCGUGGAGGAGGACCUCUUGUGCGCGGUGGCGGCUGGAGGAGGAGUUGGAUUCGCCAGCAACCGCGACAGAAUCAUCUCAGUAUGGACAUUGAGUAAUUUCAGCCAACUUGCCGUAUGUUUAAGCACUUUUGGCAGAAGGCUGGACUUUGGGCAUCGGCCAAAUCAUCCUGAGUACUUCUUGAGUUUUUUCUCUCAGCUGCGGAUUGUAAUUUAUUUGCUGCAGAAGACGGAUGCGAAGAUGUCGAGCAUGUGGCCCUGCACACAAGAGAAUACAUUACAAGAACAUGAAUUAAUCCUAGAUAACAUAUGUUGUUGGUCUGGCAGCUUACUGCCAGAAAAUUUGUGCUCUGAAGGGGUGCGAGGACUGCUAGGGAUGUACAGGAUAGUUGUAUGUAUGCACAGGUUCUUUCAAUGCUGCACCUGCUUCCUCUUCCUCUGCUUCGAAUCGGUCUUUCGUAGUUGGUUGUUCAAGCAGACACAGUGUGCACUGACAGAAGAUGGCAGGAAGAAUGGAAAAGUCCUUGCAGAAAAGAAGAACCGGAAGCAAGUUUUCUAUCUUCACGAGCAAGUCGGUGUCUGUAAAGCUUCGCCGGAGCCAUUCCAGCUCUUUGAGAGCCACAAGGCAAGGAAGCUGAGGAACCAGGACGCCAACGGUGCGGAGCAGUUUGCCAUCGAGAGGACUAGGCCAAGCUCAACAUCUCCCUCGUGCCUCCAUCAACACCGUGUCCCGCAGGGUCGUCACCGUCCGCGACGACAAGCUACUGUCGUAACUUUGUCAGCCGCACGGUUAGAGGGAGGCAUCAAGGGCCGGCCACCGCUGCCGGGGCCGACGUGCGUGCAAUUUCUAUUAAUGUAUCUCUUGUCGAUGUAUAUCGUUGUGGGCGUGGCAUUUCAGUUUCUUCCUCAGGUGAUGUUCCAAUAUAACAAGUUCCAUCAAGAAUUGCAUGUAUAUCUACCUUGCACCGCCCAGAUGCCCCUCAAGCGGCGCGCCACGGGCGUGCCCCAACUACUAGUUCAGUCGAGGACGACGCCGGCGGAGACCUUUGCUGCUCAUGCGCGCCAUCUCCGUGGAGAUGGUGCGGCGACGGAGGUCGCACCGGAGAAGGCGGCGUAUACUUGGGACGCCUGUCCCCUGCAACAUCGGCGAGGUUCAGGUGUGAUGCGGGCAGCAGUGCGGCAUCUCCAUCGACACCCGACGCGAGCAGGUUCUUGUGGUCGUAUGCAUCACCUGAAGUGGGGAAAAGGUUCAGAGAGCAGGAGGAACUGCAGGAGGAAGACGAGGAGAACCUUUGAAGGGGAAGAUGAUCUCUCCAUGGGUUAA
rnacentral:rRNA from 1 species